rnacentral:rRNA from 1 species
GGGGUGGGCAAGUCUGGUGUCAGCCGCCGCGGUAAUACCAGCACCCCGAGUGGUCGGGACGAUUAUUGGGCCUAAAGCAUCCGUAGCCUGUUCUGCAAGUCCUCCGUUAAAUCCACCUGCUCAACGGAUGGGCUGCGGAGGAUACCGCAGGGCUAGGAGGCGGGAGAGGCAAACGGUACUCAGUGGGUAGGGGUAAAAUCCUCUGAUCUACUGAAGACCACCAGUGGCGAAGGCGGUUUGCCAGAACGCGCUCGACGGUGAGGGAUGAAAGCUGGGGGAGCAAACCGGAUUAGAUACCCGGGUAGUCCCAGCUGUAAACGAUGCAGACUCGGUGAUGGGUUGGCUUCGAGCCAACCCAGUGCCGCAGGGAAGCCGUUAAGUCUGCCGCCUGGGGAGUACGGUCGCAAGACUGAAACUUAAAGGAAUUGGC